UUUAACCCAAAGUUGAUUGUAAAUACAUAAUGCCGCUCAGUCUCAUAUUUUCUCUCUUAAUUAUAUUAAUAACUUUAAGCUUUGCAUAAAUCAUUGUUUAUCAAUUUUGAUACCUUACAAAUACUACUUUCUUUUUUACUUUUUCUACUUGUGUGUUUCACUUCAAUUAAUUUAACUUUUGUUUUGUUUUUAAGUAGUUUUGAAGAAAGCUACUUUAUACAAAUUUUAAUUUGUACAAAGCAACAGUGUAGUACUGUACUUUAUUUUAAGUAAUACUUCCAGGUACUUUCUCCAUCACUGUUUAAAGUGGAUCUGAAUUGAGCUGGACCUGAUGUGAACUAGACUAAAGUGGGCUGGACGUGCAAGUGAAGGAGAUCUGAAGUUAACUGGACCUAAAGGACUAGAUAGUAAUUAAUUACUAUUUUCUGGUACUUUGAAUAUUAGGAUGGUUCUACAGGCAUUCCCCAGUUUAUAAGAGAGUUCUGUUCCUGAAAAACCUUUAGUAAAUCAGAUAAAUUUUCCCAUAGACUUCCAUUAUAAAAGCCGAGAUACUUUUCUAUAAUGAAAAUACUAACCCAAAAUGUCUUAACCCUUAAGCCCCGGGUGACGUUCCAGAACGUCUGCCUAUUUUCCCAUGACACAGAAGUGAGAGUUAACACUGUGGUGUAAAUAACUUUACUAAAGUGAGGAUAUUACUUCAAUAAUUAUGUAAGAGAUAAAAUCACAAAGUAACUUCAUGAAAUUACCGUUUACUGUAUCUUAAAGUAUAGUUAAGUCAUAAUGAUCAAAUUUUUAUGUAAAAAAUUGGGGUCAAACUAUACAUGCAUAAUAUUUUUGAGGGGUUACAAUUUAUGCAUUUCCAUGGGUCAUUUACAGUGAAUGAUAGUACCUGGUGCAGUACGCGCUUAUGGUAGGUUAACCUUACCAGUAAGCUCCUUUAUCCUGGGCUUGCCUACCGACCCCAAGAUCCUAUGUGGCUACAGGAAGAGCAGAACCUUUCACUAUACAGUAUAUGCUGGUUUAAAUAUACAAAUGCCUGAUAGAAUUGGUUUAGAUAUUUUUCUUUGCAUCUGUUUAAAUUACUGGGAGAUUAUCAACUUUCCCCACCUGUGAGCUGUAUGCUAUGUUAUGGUCAGAGUGAGGGAAGAUUGGACUAAAGUUAAUUGAGAGGGAAGACUGCUGGAGACAUAAUUGAAGAGUAUUACAGUGAGGGUGGGAAGGCUGGUGAUAUGAAUUAAAACUAUUCUCAAGUAAUGUAUAUGUGGGAGAAACUUGACUAGAACAUAAGACUUUACUGUACUGUAGCAGAAGAAGAGUGAGGAAACACCUUAGGAUAGACUGAAGUUUUAUACAAGCAAAGGAAGGAUAUGUGCCACUUAAUCUGCACUGGAUUAUUUUUUUAAUUUCUUCCACAUCCUAGGUUUAGGUUUCACUUCUUCAGAACUCAACCAUAAAGAGAGUCACCUAUCAACUGGAAUCAACUGAAUCUGACCAUCUUUCCCCGACCUUUAGGACGGGGUCAGAAGUCUAUUCUGGGAAGGAUGUUUUUGGACCAGCAUGCUUGUUUGUCCAGUGGUUCCAGGAGUCAGGAUCCUCUUGAGGGAGAAACCUGGCCCUCAGACUUGGCAUCAGCCAGGUUCAGGUUGGAGGGAGGCAUAAGGUCGAGCAUGACAACCAUUACUGGUGUUGGCUGGGCAGAAGCCGUCACUUGUGCACCAAGAUGUCUUCACGUUUUAGCUCUCUGGUCUGUAGUCUCAAAUGUAAAGUAUGUUGAAUAUUUCUCCUAAGUUAAGAUGCAAGGUUGUAUCUGAUUGUGUGAUUCAAGGUGAUGGAAUCUCAAAGGUAUGUUGAAUAUUUCUUAUAAAUUAAGAUGUAAAAAUGUAUCUGAUUGGUGACAUAAGAUACAACAUUGGUCAAGGAUGAGUUGUCCUAAUUUAUUUAGUAUGGAUCAGGAAGCUGAUUCUAGGACUGUAGUUAGCCUGAUUAAAACUCGGGCCUUCGUUGAUGAGCAGCAGCAAUUUGACAGUAAUUACAUAAGAUCAUCGGAAUCGUCUUAGUGAUGUGCAAACCAAUAAAGGAUUUUUUAAUGCUAGA